rnacentral:rRNA from 1 species
UAAUACAGAGGGUGCAAGCGUUGUUCGGAAUUACUGGGCGUAAAGCGUGCGUAGUCGGUAUUGAGAGUCGCGGGUGAAAUCCCAGGGCUUAACCCUGGAACUGCCUGCGAGACCUCAGUACUAGAGUGUGAGAGGGGAUAGUGGAAUACCCAGUGUAGCGGUGAAAUGCGUAGAGAUUGGGUGGAACACCGGUGGCGAAGGCGGCUAUCUGGCUCACAACUGACGAUCAGGCACGAAAGCGUGGGGAGCAAACAGGAUUAGAUACCCUGGUAGUCCACGCCGUAAACUAUGCACACAAGCUGUAGUGGGAUUUUACUCCUGCUGUGGCGAAGCUAACGCAAUUAGUGUGCCGCCUGGGGAGUACGGUCGCAAGACUA